rnacentral:pre_miRNA from 1 species
AAAAAGGCAAACUCUGGGUUUCCGUGCCAACGUUUGACUGUCCGUCUUAUAUUAAAUUUUUUUAUAAUUAGUAUUUUCAUUGCUGUUAGAUGAUAAAACAUGAUUAAUACUUUAUGCGUAACUUAUCUUUUUAAUUUUUUUCAUAAUUUUUUUAAAUACUACGAUUAAACGUUGUACACGGAAAU